rnacentral:RNase_P_RNA from 1 species
UCAGGCGGCCGGAUGACCGCUGCCCCAACCGUUUGCGGAUGGAGUGGAGGAAAGUCCGGGCUCCACGAGAAUGCGGAGCCGGGUAACACCCGGCGGGGCAACCCCAGGGAAAGUGCCACAGAAAGCAAACCGCCAGCCGCAGCUUGUGUCCACACAGUCGCGGUGGGUAAGGGUGAAAGGGUGCGGUAAGAGCGCACCGCUCCGCCGGUAACGGCGGUGGCAGGGUAAACCCCUCCGGGAGCAAGACCAAAUAGGGGCAGUACGCCGUGCCGUUCGCGACGCGGCAAGCGAAUUCUCGCGUUACCGCCCGGGUCGGUCGCUAGAGACGCCAGGUAACGGGCGUCCCAGAGGAAUGGUCAUCGCCCGCAUACAUUUUCUAUGUGCGGGAUACAGAACCCGGCUUACAGGCCGCCUGGCACA